rnacentral:sRNA from 1 species
UGGCCUUGUAGGCCUUGAAACGGGACAUG